rnacentral:rRNA from 1 species
AAAUGAAUAGACGGGGACCCGCACAAGCAGCGGAGCAUGUGGUUUAAUUCGAAGCAACGCGAAGAACCUUACCAGGACUUGACAUCCCGAUGACCGGUUCUUAACCGAACCUUCUCUUCGGAGCAUCGGUGACAGGUGGUGCAUGGUUGUCGUCAGCUCGUGUCGUGAGAUGUUGGGUUAAGUCCCGCAACGAGCGCAACCCUUGCCAUUAGUUGCCAUCAUUAAGUUGGGCACUCUAGUGGGACUGCCGGGGAUAACUCGGAGGAAGGUGGGGAUGACGUCAAAUCAUCAUGCCCCUUAUGUUCUGGGCUACACACGUGCUACAAUGGUCGGUACAAAGAGCAGCAAUACCGUGAGGUGGAGCAAAUCUCAAAAGCCGAUCCCAGUUCGGAUUGUAGGCUGCAACUCGCCUACAUGAAGUUGGAGUUGCUAGUAAUCGCGGAUCAGAAUGCCGCGGUGAAUGCGUUCCCGGGUCUUGUACACACCGCCCGU